GAUGAAGAACGUAGCGAAAUGCGAUAAGUAAUGUGAAUUGCAGAAUUCAGUGAAUCAUCGAAUCUUUGAACGCACAUUGCGCCCGCUGGUAUUCCGGCGGGCAUGCCUGUUCGAGCGUCAUUUCAACCCUCAAGCUCUCCGGAGUUUGGUGUUGGGGCGCCUGGGGCUUUUCGACCUCAGGGCCCUCAAGUCCAUCGGCGGGACCGCCAGGACACUGAGCGCAGUAGUAUUAUUUCGCUCGGUAGGAUCUUCCACGGCGGGUCGAUCUGGCCGCUAAACCCCCCAAUUCUCACCCAAGGUUGACCUCGGAUCAGGUAGGAAUACCCGCUGAACUUAAGCAUAUCAAUAAGCGGAGGA
rnacentral:misc_RNA from 1 species